rnacentral:rRNA from 1 species
UAGGGAAUCUUCCGCAAUGGACGCAAGUCUGACGGAGCAACGCCGCGUGAGUGACGAAGGAUUUCGGUUCGUAAAACUCUGUUGUUAGAGAAGAACAGCGCAUAGAGUAACUGUUAUGCGUGUGACGGUAUCUAACCAGAAAGCCACGGCUAACUACGUGCCAGCAGCCGCGGUAAUACGUAGGUGGCAAGCGUUGUCCGGAUUUAUUGGGCGUAAAGCGUGCGCAGGCGGUCAAUUAAGUCUGAUGUGAAAGCCCCCGGCUCAACCGGGGAGGGUCAUUGGAAACUGGUUGACUUGAGUGCAGAAGAGGAGAGUGGAAUUCCAUGUGUAGCGGAGAAAUGCGUAGAUAUAUGGAGGAACACCAGUGGCGAAGGCGACUCUCUGGUCUGUAACUGACGCUGAGGCUCGAAAGCGUGGGUAGCAAACAGG